AAAGUCGUAACAAGGUUUCCGUAGGUGAACCUGCGGAAGGAUCAUUAGAAAACACGAGAAUACUUUUUAGUGCCAAACGAGAAACAGAAGUAAAACCACCAGCAAAACAAAAACUUUCAACAACGGAUCUCUUGGUUCUC
rnacentral:misc_RNA from 1 species